UACGAAGGGGGCUAGCGUUGUUCGGAAUCACUGGGCGUAAAGGGCGCGUAGGCGGCUUUGUAAGUCGGGGGUGAAAGCCUGUGGCUCAACCACAGAAUUGCCUUCGAUACUGCAUGGCUUGAGACCGGAAGAGGUUAGUGGAACUGCGAGUGUAGAGGUGAAAUUCGUAGAUAUUCGCAAGAACACCAGUGGCGAAGGCGGCUGACUGGUCCGGAUCUGACGCUGAGGCGCGAAAGCGUGGGGAGCGAACAGG
rnacentral:rRNA from 1 species